GACGAACGCUGGCGGCGUGCUUAACACAUGCAAGUCGAACGGAAAGGCCCUGCUUUUGUGGGGUGCUCGAGUGGCGAACGGGUGAGUAACACGUGAGUAACCUGCCCUUGACUUUGGGAUAACUUCAGGAAACUGGGGCUAAUACCGGAUAGGAGCUCCUGCUGCAUGGUGGGGGUUGGAAAGUUUCGGCGGUUGGGGAUGGACUCGCGGCUUAUCAGCUUGUUGGUGGGGUAGUGGCUUACCAAGGCUUUGACGGGUAGCCGGCAUGAGAGGGUGACCGGCCACAUUGGGACUGAGAUACGGCCCAGACUCCUACGGGAGGCAGCAGUGGGGAAUAUUGCACAAUGGGCGGAAGCCUGAUGCAGCAACGCUGCGUGCGGGAUGACGGCCUUCGGGUUGUAAACCGCUUUCGCCUGUGACGAAGCGUGAGUGACGGUAAUGGGUAAAGAAGCACCGGCUAACUACGUG
rnacentral:rRNA from 1 species